UUUAAUGGACCUCUCAGAUCUGCAAAUCUAAAACGCUGUCCUGGAAUGGAAGAAUACAGGCCCUGAAGAGGUAGCCGCAUCGCACUGUGAGGCACGUGCAUGGCAUUUGGUUUGUUUGUUUCUAUUUUAUUUUCCCUGAAAGGCAAGACCAUUGCCUCAAUGAUUCCACGUUGAUUCAGUUUUAUUUGCAUGUUUGUUUUGUCAUUACUGUCACCACCCUUGGGAAUUUUGGUUGGGAAGUGAGAAGUCAGGCUGGGAGGAUGGGGACUGGCCAGUGGCCUCCUAGAGCAGGGGUGAGUGUGGCCGUAUUCCAACAAACCUCUAUUUACAAAAACAGGCAGCAGGAGACAUGUGGCCCCCCAGCUGUAGUUUGCAGAGCUUUGUCCUAAAAUUCUAAUUUGCGGCCACUUUUUGCAGCCUCCUGUAAACCGAUUCUUGUUUUAGUUUCUGUUCUAAAGCCCAGGGCCCUGAGUCUCGGAGAAGAAAGCUGCUUGCUUGGAAUUACACAGAGAAGGACCGCCCAUGUGGACAGCUUCGUCCCGGAGGCAACUCUUCUAGCUGGCAGAUCAGGAAACUAAGCCUGAGAAGUUGAGGAGCCGGUCCAAGAGUGAGGCGCACAGAUGGGAAACAGCCCACAGGAACACUGUUGACAAGCUUCUCUAACUGCGCUUAGCAUCUCCAAGGUAGAACACUCUCCCAUCUGGAGGUUGCCUUAAGAGACAACAGUCCAUCUGCAACCCAAAGUACGCCUCCGAUGAAACUCUCCCAUCUUGAGAGUUUCAGCCACUUUUACAAGCUAGCUUUGCCCAGGAAGGCGCCAGCUGGACCUCCUGGCACGGAUCGAGUUCAGCUUUGCACCCCAGGACUCUACAGAAGAAGGCACCGAGGCGUUGAGAACAGAGGUCACCUGUCCACGGUCACACAGCCGGCUAGUGGCAGAGCCAGGACCCAGACAUGGUUCUUCCGAGUGGAGAUGAGACAAAAGACAGAUGGACGGCUCCCACCUCCAGGAAGGAUGGUGCAGGCUUUAAACAAUUUUCACCUGAUUCAUUACUUGGCCACAAACAGGUUGAAUGCAAGAAGCUUAGGGAGUUGGCCAGGCACGGUGGCUCACGCCUGUAAUCCCAGCACUUUGGGAGGCCGAGGCGGGUGGAUCACGAGGUCAGGAGAUCGAGACCAUCCUGGCUAACACGGUGAAACCCAGUCUCUACUAAAAAUACAAAAAAUUAGCCAGGCGUGGUGGCAGGUGCCUGUAGUCCCAGCUAUUCGGGAGGCUGAGGCAGGAGAAUGGCAUGAACCUGGGAGGCAGAGCUUGCAGUGAGCUGACAUUGUGCCAUUGCACUCCAGCCUAGGUGACACAGCGAGACUCCAUCUCAAAAAAAAAAAAAAAAAAAAAAACUUAGGGAGCUAAAGAGCACGUGGUCAGAGCCCCUAG